rnacentral:rRNA from 1 species
UAAAAUAUAAGAAAAGCAUAAAAUGGAUGCCUUGACUCGAAUAUCCGAAGAAGGACGUGCAAAUCUGCGAUAAGCCUAGAGGAGUUGAUAAGAAACGAUAAAACUCUAGGAUUUCCGAAUGGGGGAACCCAAUGUAGGUAAUCUACAUUAUCAUAAAAAUAUGAAGGACACAUUGUAAACUGAAAUAUCUAAGUAGCAAUGGAAAAGAAAUCAAAAGAGAUUCCCUUAGUAGUGACGAGCGAAGAGGGAGAAGCCUAAACCGUAAAUUUUGUAUAGUUAGCUUUUGAAAUUACGGGGUUAAAGGAAUAAUAUACAGUGAGGCUAAUAAGCUGAAUAUUAUAUAUGAUUAUUAAAGGAAAGAGGAGAGAAACUCUACCAUAGAAGGUUAAAGUCCAGUACUUGAAAAUAAUUAUGUAAAAUAUCUAUUAUAUCCUGAGUAGGUUCAGACACGAGAAAUCUGGAUUGAAUUAGGGGAGACCAUUCUCCAAGGCUAAAUAUUAUUCGAGAUCGAUAGUGAACAAGUACCAUGAGGGAAAGGUGAAAAGAACCCCGGAAGGGGAGUGAAAUAGAACCUGAAAUUUUAUGCUGAUAAAGAGAUGGAGCCUAAGGGUGACAUCGUACUUUUUGUAGAACGGACCAACGAGUUAGUGUAUGUGGCAAGGUUAAGGAAGUAUAAUCUGAAGCCGAAGUGAAAGCGAGCUUGAAAAGGGCGAUAAGUCAUAUAUACUAGACCCGAAACUAGGUGAGCUUCCCAUGAGCAGGCUGAAGUAGAGGUAAAACUCUAUGGAGGGCCGAACCAAUUGGAGCUGCAAGUCCUUUGGAUGACUUGUGGGAAGGAGUGAAAAGCUAAUCGAACCUAGAGAUAGCUGGUUCUCCGCGAAAUAGCUUUAGGGCUAGCCUUGGUUAAAUAUUGUAUAGGGGUAGAGCACUGAUUGGGCUAGCGGGCUUCACGGCUUAGUAAACCCAGACAAACUUCAAAUACUAUAUAACUUAAACCAGGAGUCAGACGGUGAGAGAUAAGUCCCAUCGUCAAAAGGGAAACAGCCCAGAUUACUGUCUAAGGUCCCUAAUUAAUAACUAAGUGGCAAAGGAUGUGGGGUUGCUGAGACAACCAGGAGGUUGGCUUAGAAGCAGCCAUUCCUUAAAAGAGUGCGUAAUAGCUCACUGGUCAAGCGACCCUGCGCCGAAAAUACAACGGGGCUCAAGUUAUUAACCGAAGACGUAGAAUCGUAAGAUUGGUAGCGGAGCGUUCUGUAAGUCGCAGAAGGUGAAGUGUGAACUUUGCUGGAGACAUCAGAAGCGAAAAUGUUGGUAUGAGUAACGAAAGGGAAGUGAAAACCUUCCCCAUCGGAAACCCAAGGUUUCCUACGCAACGGUAUUCGUCGUAGGGUUAGUCGGUCCUAAGGUGAAAGCUGAAAGGCGAAGCUGAUGGAUACCAGGUUAAUAUUCCUGGACUACAUAUAUAAACUGAAGGGGGGACAUAUCGGGAUAUAAGAGAUACUGAAUUAAUUGUAUUACGAAAGCAAGGUUUAGGAUAUAGGCAAAUCCGUAUUCUUUUAAGACUGAGCUAAGUUAGAUUGAUGGAAGCUCGAAUGAGUGGAAAGAUUUUGCUCUUACUAUAUUCUGGUAUCGAGAAAAGCCUCUAAGGGUUAAUUAUAUAAGUAACCGUACCGCAAUCAAACACAUGUGGGUUGGUGGAGAACACCAAGAUGAACGAGAAAACUAUGCUUAAGGAACUCGGCAAAACAGCGGUCGUAACUUCGGGAUAAGACCUGCCUAAUUUUUAAUGUAAGAAUUAGGCCGCAGCGAAAGAACUCAGGCGACUGUUUACCAAAAACACAGCUCUCUGCAAACUCGUAAGAGGAAGUAUAGGGGGUGAUGCCUGCCCAGUGUCAGAAGGUUACAUGGAUGUGUGCAAGCAUUGAAAUCAAGCCCUGAUGAACGGCGGCCGUAACUAUAACGGUCCUAAGGUAGCGAAAUUCCUUGUCGGGU